GCACUGAGAGCAAAGCCUGGAGAAUGGUCCUGUGACCACCCAAACCUGCACAAAGGCUGGCAGGGCUGCGAGCCCGCCGAGCGGCAGCGAAGAUGAUGGCACGAGUUAAGCACCGCAUCGUUAAGAGCUCAGAGCAAGAGCGGUGAGGGGACAUGAAGUACCACGAGCACAAAGAUCUGUUCCGAAUGCUGACUUUCAAAGAGAGGAGAGAAGUAAUUUGAUUUUUAUUUUUAAUUAUCUGGAGACAAAUCAUACCAACAGAGACCUUUUAUUGCA